rnacentral:rRNA from 1 species
CACGUAGGGCGCAAGCGUUGUCCGGAAUUAUUGGGCGUAAAGAGCUCGUAGGCGGUCUGUUGCGUCCGCUGUGAAAACUCGGGGCUUAACCCCGAGCCUGCAGUGGAUACGGGCAGACUAGAGGUAGGUAGGGGAGAAUGGAAUUCCCGGUGUAGCGGUGAAAUGCGCAGAUAUCGGGAAGAACACCCGUGGCGAAGGCGGUUCUCUGGGACGGUACUGACGCUGAGACGCGAAAGCGUGGGGAGCGAACAGG